UACGUAGGGUCCAAGCGUUGUCCGGAUUUAUUGGGCGUAAAGAGCUCGUAGGCGGCUCAGUAAGUCGGAUGUGAAAACUCGGGGCUCAACCCCGAGACGCCAUCCGAUACUGCUGUGGCUUGAGUCUGGUAGGGGAACACGGAAUUCCUGGUGUAGCGGUGAAAUGCGCAGAUAUCAGGAGGAACACCAAUAGCGAAGGCGGCACUCUGGGCCGGUACUGACGCUGAGGAGCGAAAGCGUGGGGAGCGAACAGG
rnacentral:rRNA from 1 species